UACGAAGGGGGCUAGCGUUGCUCGGAAUCACUGGGCGUAAAGCGCACGUAGGCGGCUUUUUAAGUCAGAGGUGAAAUCCUGGAGCUCAACUCCAGAACUGCCUUUGAUACUGAGAGGCUUGAGUCCGGGAGAGGUGAGUGGAACUGCGAGUGUAGAGGUGAAAUUCGUAGAUAUUCGCAAGAACACCAGUGGCGAAGGCGGCUCACUGGCCCGGUACUGACGCUGAGGUGCGAAAGCGUGGGGAGCAAACAAG
rnacentral:rRNA from 1 species